UGUGUCAGUGAGAGGACAGAAGAGCUCACAUCAGUUCAGCUUCAACAUCAACCAUGUUCUCUGCAGCUCUGAUGCUGCUGCUGGCAGCUGGAUCCUGUGUUGAUGGGCAGACUCUGACAGAAUCUGAACCAACAGUUAAAAAGCCUGGAGAAUCCCACAAACUGACCUGUACAACAUCUGGAUUCACAUUGAGUAGCUAUGCUAUGAGCUGGGUCAGACAGGCUCCUAGAAAAGGACUGGAGUGGGUUGCAACUAGCGGUAGUGGUGGUAGCAAAUCGUACUCUCAGUCAAUUGAAGGCCGGUUCACCAUCUCCAGAGACGACAGCAGAGAGCAGCUGUAUCUGCAGAUGAACAGUCUGAAGACUGAAGAUUCUGCUGUUUAUUAUUGUGCUCGAUGGCCACAGUGACUGGAGUUGGUUGAGCAGCUGUACAAAAUCCUACAAUACUCAUCCUGAUAGGCCUCAACUACCUCAUAUAAUGAUGUAACUUCAAUUAAGUUGAAAGUAGUAGUAUAGUCGUCAUUUUAAAACCUUUUAAGGCUGCACAAGCAAAACAUGACAAAGUGCAGAUUGAAACUUGAUAAGCUGAAAUAUAAAAGCCAGACAAAACAGUACUUAACAAAGAAAAAACAAAGACCACAAACAUGUGAACAAUCAUUCACAUUUAUUCACGUAAAUAAAAGGUUAUCACUCAGAUAUCUACGUUACCAAACUAUCAUCACAGUAUCAUCAGUUACUGUAUAUGUUGAGAUAGAAAAGAGUUACAGUCCCUCAUUUUAAACUCUAGAGGGCAGACAAGGACUGACUGUGUUACUGAUCACAGUAAUGAUCUUGGAUUGAAAUGAUAGUGAUGAAAAGAGAUUGUUUCAUUUGUCUUGAGCACAGUUAGUGUUAAUAUUUUCAUCCUGAUAGAUGGGAUGGCACAGUGGUUCGAUGUUUAGCACUCUCACCUCACAGCAAGAAGGUCCUGCGUUCAAAUCCACUGUGAGGAUCUGGGUUUUCUCUGAGUGUCUGCGGUAAGAAACGUGGUUUGGAAGAUGGAUGUAAUGAGUCGAUGCAAAUUUUAAUCUCUUCCAUCUCUUUUAUGUCACUGCAAGCUGAAGACAAACCAUACCACCAACCAGACAUACAACAAAUUUUCACAAUGACUGUAGCUACAUAUUUAACUUUUCUGAUGCUAUCAGUGAUUUCUGGUGAAUACGACAUCUCUGCACACAUCUUUUUCUAUUUCAAUAGAUUUUGUUUGGCUGUGUUUUGAUCAAACUGCUUUCUUCUCCAGAUGUUUGCAGUCAGACUCUGACUGA